rnacentral:lncRNA from 12 species
AGGAGAGAGAGAGAGAGAGAGAGAGAAAGAAAGAUAGAUAUUUGUAAAAUCACUGUGGUUAAAGAUUAUUUCUGUUUACAGACCACUGGACAAAAUUGGUCACAUGGCUCUAACCAAACUGCAAAGGAGGCUGGAAAAGUAUAGAGGAGCUCAUGGUUUGGGGACAAACCAAGAGACCUACAGUUUUACAGAAAACUGUGGCUGUGAAACAGGGAAUCCUGGAAUCACAGCAGUGGAAAGCCCAGAAGACUAGCUUGGCCUCAUAUUUGCUAACAAAACCAGGUUGGAAACUAGAAGAAAGGAACAAAAAACCAAGAUGAUUCCUGAAAGCAAAUUAAAUUGAGUUAAAAAUUUAGUGCGUGUCUUGAAAUAUAAAGUCAGGGAAAAUUCGAGAAGAUAAAUCCCAAGCCAAUGACAUAAAAAUAUGGGAGAAAAAUUUAAAAAUUAUACAAAUAGAUCAGAAAAUUUAAUAUCAGACUAUUGGGAAUUACAGAAAUGUUUGGGUUUGUUGUCGUUGUUUUUAAAGCAGCAAUAGAGGUGAAGUAUUUUUUUUUUAAGAUUUUAUUUACUUAUUCAUGAAAGACAUAGAGAGAGAAAGGCAGAGACGUAGGCAGAGGGAGAAGCAGGCUCCAGGCAGGGAAACUGAUGUGGGACUCGAUCCUGAGACUGUGGAUCACGCCCUGAGCCAGGGGCAGGUGCUCAACCGCUGAGCCACCCAGGCGUCCUGAGGGGAAGUAUUUAUUAAAUAAAGCAAUUUUCUGGUGAAAAUUUCCCUGACCU